GAUGAACGCUGGCGGCGUGCUUAACACAUGCAAGUCGAACGGAAAGGCCCAAGCUUGCUUGGGUACUCGAGUGGCGAACGGGUGAGUAACACGUGGGUGAUCUGCCCUGCACUUCGGGAUAAGUCUGGGAAACUGGGUCUAAUACCGGAUAGGACCACCUCCUGGAUGUUGGGGGGGAAAGUUUUUCCGGUGUGGGAUGGGCUCGCGGCCUAUCAGCUUGUUGGUGGGGUAGUGGCUUACCAAGGCGUUGACGGGUAGCCGGCCUGAGAGGGUGUACGGCCACAUUGGGACUGAGAUACGGCCCAGACUCCUACGGGAGGCAGCAGUGGGGAAUAUUGCACAAUGGGCGCAAGCCUGAUGCAGCGACGCCGCGUGGGGGAUGACGGCCUUCGGGUUGUAAACUGCUUUCGCUAGGGACGAAGCGUUUUGGGAGGGAACCGGGAGAAGAAGCACCGGCUAACUACGG
rnacentral:rRNA from 1 species